rnacentral:rRNA from 1 species
CUGCAGCCCGAGUGGUGAUCGAUUUUAUUGAGCCUAAAGCGUCCGUAGCCGGACUAGUAAACUCUUGGGUAAAUUGGGCAGCUUAACUGUCCAAACUCCGAGAGGACUGCUAGUCUUGGGACCGGGAGAGGUCAGAGGUACUCAAGGGGUAGGGGCUAAAUCCUGUAAUCCUUUGGGGACCACCAGUGGCGAAGGCGUCUGACUAGAACGGAUCCGACGGUAAGGGACGAAACCCUGGGGCGCAAACCGGAUUAGAGACCCGUGUAGUCC